GCAAAGCAGAUCCGUUCGAAGGCCACGGCUGGGGCAGGACGGAGACAUCAGCCCGAAAGAGGGAGAGAGAAGGAUUGGUGUAGGAGGUGGGGAAUGGGAACAGGAGGAUACAGCCAGCACCAAAGAUGGGAUACGUCAACUCUACGCCAUCCUGCAGCAUGAUGUUUUCACGCUUUUACUCAUAUUGUACUUGCCGAUGGCGCACUGACAAACGACCGCGCAGACUCCCGGGAGCAACGUGACGUGGUGGUGGCAGUCAGCGACCAAUCGUUGCGCGUUGCACCGCGGAAACGGACGAUCACUGGGCGAUAAGGCACGCGUCGGCGCAUGACCAGCGACCCGCAUUGUGUUCCUGUCACGCAAGCGGCGGAGUCUGCGCACGCAAGCACCCAGCGCCGUCGCCUUGGCCGUGCCAAGCAAGCGCCCCUCCGAACACGGUGCCGGCAGGCUUGGACACCUUAAAAGAAAGCGCGAGCUCAUUGUCGCCAGUUGCUUAUUCCCAAGGUUUAAGCUACCAUGGAUCGGAGACAGUUCUAUACGAGAGCAGGCGAAUGUCAACAUAAAGACAGCUGGCUGCGGUGACCAAAUCAGCCAUCUCGUCCGCGCCCGGAGAUUUCUUCUCGUUCGGGCGCCAAACCCUUCCAGCCGAGGCUCAGGAUGAGUUGUCGCGGUAGCUGCUCGUACCAGUUGACUGACUAUUCGCUGUCGCAGAUGAAGAACUUCAAGGGUCUGAACCAACCUUUCCCCAAGUACAGCGCGGCAGUGCCCUCAAGCGCCUCAGUGGAACGGCUCUUCAACAUUGCCAACGAAGUGCUGACGAAAAAACGGGUUCGUCUGUCGGACACCAACAUCGAGAUGCAACUCUUGCGGAGUUUAAACAAGGGACUUUACUAAA